CUGGUGACUAUUUUUCUUCUCUAGUAUAUAGAGCAUCUUCAAGCACUAUGAAAGCUAACCAGUAGUAGUGAAACUUCCAGAUUGUCAGCAGCUUUAUUUUACUAUGUUCUAUGACCCAAGUAUGUGGUAUCUUCAGCUACCAAAGAGUAGCUUACCACCAAGUUCUGGUGGAUAACCAAGAGUAUUGGUUGCAAUAUCAGGGACUAUAGGUCCUCAAUACCAACAAAUCCAAAAGAAGUAACAUAUUUCUAGCAUCAGCCUUUACACACACACACACACACACACACACACACACACACACACUCCUAUUCCCUUCCUCUUUCUUUUUCAGUAGUAGGUUUGUCCUUGCUUCCUGUUAUGACUUUGGAAGAUAUUUCUAAUCUCUAUUUUUCCAAGUUUAUUUAUUAAUAGUAUAAUUUUGCCUAACUAUUGGAUUAAUUUACCAUUGAACUAUUGGGGACUAGAGUUUUCUUAAUGGGAAGAUUUUCAAACAUAAAUUUGACUUAUCUUACUUGUUAUAUAGAUUUGUAGCUGUUGAAAUUUUUUUUAUGUCUUGUGCACAUUUUACUAAUUUGUCCAUGUAAAUUGCCAAACAUACUUCAAUGCUUUUGUUCAUUAUAUUGCUUUGUUUUCCCUUCCACACAUGUAAUAUGUAUAGUGAUGUCUUUUCAUACUUUUCUGAGAUUAGAAAUUUAAAAUUUCUCCUGUAAUUCUCUGUAAAUUUUCUGAUUGUUAUUGCCACCUAGAAAAUUAAACUUACUGCUAAAACCCAUCAAUUUAAUUUGUGGCUCAGAAGUUUUUAGAAUGGCUCAACUGAACCACUGAAGUUUUUAAUUCACCUGUAUUCAGCAGGCAGUGAGUGGGAUUUGGUCAUGUCAGUCUCUAGGCUGGACAUCCAAGAUGACUUCUGCACAAGGCUGGCUGUUGGUGCUGACUAUGGGCCUGCCAGCUCAGCAGCCGUUUUCCUCCAGGGCAGGAAUCACAAGGGAGCCAGGUGGAAGUUAAUUUCCUGGUUUUGAUAAAGUUUGGAAGUAAAUAAGUGCCAGAUCCACCAAAUGUUAUUAGUCUUGAACAAAUCAUCAAAGCCAGCAGUGAUUAAGAGACACCAGGCUUUUGAAUCUUGGUGAGAAAAAUAGGGAAGAAAAUUCUAGUCAUAUUGUUUAACCUUGCCAAUCAGUACAGGUGGAGAUGGGAAUUAUCAGAUUUCAUUAAUAUUUUCAAAUAUUCAGUAUUUACAUUGGUUUUAUCUGAUCAUUCUUAUAUAAUUGAUUCCUUAUGAUGAUUUUUUUCUGUUUACUUUGAAUUUAAUUUGCUCUUUGAUUUCAGCUUAUCAAGGUGAAGUGAAUUUACUGAUUUUAUCGUUGAUCCUCAUUCUAAUAAGGAUAUUUUAAGUAUUUGAAGCUACAGAGCUUCAAAGUAUUACAAGUUUGAAGAAUUUAUAAUUUUCAAAAUUAUAAGGUGUCAUAAACUCUUCGUAUAGAGCCAUAAAGAGAGUAGUUUAUGGUUUCCAGGAGGCAUAGGAGUUAGCCUGGUGAAUUGAACUGUCCAGAAGAGAUCACCCUUUGCAUUGGACAUUCUUCAAAGUCUGCUUGACUGGCUAGAAAUUCUGUGCUUGUAGAGAGGUUAGAAAUGUUUCAGGUACAGAAUCUAAUUAUCUUUGUCUAUCUUGGCCUGCUUUGAAUAUUCCUUUACUGUUCAUCUAUUGAUAUGACCUAACAUAAUUGUAAUGACUUUUGAAAUGCUUGAAUAGACUCUAGCUUCCAUAAACUCAAAAGCUAAAAAUGCCAGCAGAUAACAUUUGAGGCCUAGUGCAGAGAAUUUCCUGUUUUAAUGUCACCUACCUACCUACUUUCCUACCCACCAAUGUAUUUGAAAACUAUGUUAAUCUAUGACUUUGUUUGUUCUGUUACUCAGAAUACUUCAUGAGAAUCAUCUCAUUGGAACAUAGAGCUUGUGGUCCACUGAUAGGACAAUUUCUUGAGAUGCUGGGCAGCAGCCACGAGUUGAAGCUCCCUAUCAUUCUCCAUCAUAGGUGAUGGAUGGGUACUCAGCCAUGUACCAUAGUACAUGACACCAGUAUUUUUGAAUAUUUUGACUUCUGUUUUAACAUACCACCAUGUCUAAAAAUUAUUCACCUGUGCAUAUACAUGAGAUAUUCACCACUUUGUUGUGAAAGUGACUGACUCUGUGUUAGAUGAUUUCAUCCAACUACAGGCUAAUUCAGAUAUUCUGAAGUUCAUCUUCCUAAGUGCCUUAAAGGUACUCUGGCUGAAGAUGUUUUCAAGCUUCGAUGGAUUAACUUGGAUUCAACCUUCGUUGACUUCACAGCUUCUGACAUCUAGCAAUUAUUCUUCAAGAUCACAGGUACCAAGGCAGGGAUGUGGAAACUACAAAGGAAGAAACCAGUGAGGCAGUUAGGGAUGCUGUACUGCAAACAUCUCGACAGGCUUGAUUUGAGGCACAGUGGCUCAUGCCUUUAAUUCCAGCACUUGAGGCAGAGGCACAUGGAUCCCUAUUUUGGCAGCCUAGUGGGAGCCAGGAUGCCACUGCCUCAACAUUGUUGACCCCACCUUAGAAGAUUCAAAGUAUACUGAACUGUGCCUGUCUUAGGCUGUCCUGUCUUCCAGGAUCUUACCCAUCAUUGACUACCAUUCCUCAAAGAGACAUCAUUCCAGAGACAUGUCACUGGAAGGGGUGAUGAGAAACAUCCUACAUGGUGGUUUCAUGGAUCUCUGCUACACAGACUUUGAUCACUUCCUUAAGGGUGCCAUGAUUGGUAUUCUCAAGAGCCAUCAGCACCUGGAGGGUCACCUUAUUUAUGGAGCUCUGCCUGGAAAUAUGCUGGACAAAACACUUAAGCAAAGUAAUUAUUAGUAUAACAGUUCCUCCCAUCAUAGCAUAAGUGGAUAUCCAGGAGGGAUCAAACAGCCUUUUAUUAUUGUCCCAUGCUUUCCCUAAAACCCUGGCAUCCAGGAAUACUCUGGCCACAUUGAGGUUGGCUAUGUUCUCCCUUAGCAGCACAGAAUAGUUAAGGAAAUUGUCUGACCCGGUACCUUCAAGAUAUUGGACCAACUGCUGUCAAGCUUCACUGCUGUUUUGUACCUGAUAAGGGGUUAGGGAGAUUGAGUGAAACUGGGUAUUGCAGACCAAUAGAGAUAUUUCCCUAACAUUGGCCAACUCAUCUGUCAGUAAGUCAAUUUGUUGUUGUAACAUGUAAAUGGCGUAAUAAAGAUAUUGACUUAGUACCUCCUGUACCUGUAGCCCCUAGCCUGACAUAGAAAUUACUGUAUUGACAAUAUCCACCAUCAUGUCUGUCUGGAUUAAAGCAAUGGCAGCUGUUGUUUCCCCCAGAAAUGUCUGCAAUGAUGGCUGCAAUGAUGACAGCCAUAAUACCAUUGAGAAGUUAUUGGAUCCUUCCAUCUGACCAACAAGAGGGGGUGCCCCUCAGCAAAAACACCCAAUGUUUAUAAACAGGGCUCAGCCCUUUCUCAUGGAAGGAGAAAAAAAUUCACAUGAAACAUGACCGCCAGCAAUGCAAGAUUCAGAUCUCUUUUGGAUUUCAAGGAGGUGAAUGAAAGCUUCCUUCAACUUGCUCUGCAUGCAGACAGACUUUGAGCUCAGAGAUCUGCCUGCCUCUGUAAAAACAAUUAGCUUAGUUGGGUGGGAUCCCACCCUGAGAUCACCACUCCCUCACUUCCUAGUGCCACUUUAUUACUUAAACCAUGAGCCUUGUAUUUUUUUUAACUAUUCCUUUUCCUUUACUCACUCAUUAAUACUAUAUUUCAGGUCUGUGAAACCACUCAUAAUUUAUAUUGCAUCCUUAUAUUUUACAUAGUUGAGAAACAUGUUUAUAUUCUUGAAUCUCAUGUUUUCAGAGUUUUUUCACAGCCUUAAAGGCUGUCCUGAAGGUCACAUCAUUACCAUUUUGCUGAGGAAAAUUAGACAUACUCUUGCCUCCCAGAAUUGUGCUGUGUCUGAUUAUUAUGGGGUCAUUAAUCUUUGCAUAGAGAACAUUUCCUGAUAACCUUGGCAAGGAAAGCAUUCCUCAAAGGAAGAACAUGAAGUAAAAUAUAUACAUUAUUAUAUAAACAAGCCUUAUGGAUACAGAAACCACCAACAUUUGAGGAGACUUAUACCCUGUUGACUCUACUCCACGGGUGGGAACUGUGUCACACCAUCCCUUCUGUGGUCAUGCCUGACCAAACAGAUGUGCGAUUUAAACUUUAGCAAUGUUUCUUUUACAAAAAUGGGUGCCCU